rnacentral:lncRNA from 1 species
GAUAACACCAAUCCCCUAUCGUAGCUGAAACACGUGGUAACAGUUCAUCCCAAUGAUAUUUAGACACGUGUCCACGAUCCCAAGUACAAGGGAAAAUAAUCUUCAUCCAACGGUUCACAAAUCUUCAAGAGUGAUUAGCACGGAGCUCCCAGAAGAUCAUAAACGGAAUUUUCGUGUUGAGACGAGAGCGAGGGUGAAAAAAAUGGCGAUCGGAAUAAAGGCGAUGCCGUUUUCUUAUGUCGCACACUUUUUGGCCAUAGUAGGUGCAAUUUUAGUGCUUAUUUGGUGUAUCGGCUUCAGGGGAGGUUUAGCAUGGGAAGCCUCUAACAAAAAUCUCAUAUUUAAUGUAAGCCAGUUCAUUUUCUGCUGUUGGUAAAUCGUAAAACUAUCUGUUACUUUUGUUCUGGUAUGGCAAUCGUUUACUUAAAUUGAAUUGAGGGUAGUAAUCAGUACUAUAUAGUUUUUUUCCAAUUAGGGAUGAGCAUAUAGCCUCAGUUUUACCUAUUUCUUUGGACGGAGUUGUACUUUCAAUUUACAUCCCGGUUGACUCUUGUUGUGCAUUCGUUCUUGAUUCUAUUGUUGCUCUUUCACCACACAGUUCGUUUCUAGUUUUUCUUUUAGGAUUUGAGCACGUUAAGUGCUAUGCUAAUUUAAUGGGAAACUGUAAGCAAAAUUUACAGACUUCCCAUGAUCACUGGACCAUUUUCAGCUUCGGAGCCUAAGGUAGUUUAGUUUCAAGGUUUUUGAUUCUUUCAUUUCAACAUUCUAUUUUCCCUCGUUGUUGGUGUCAUAUUUUCCAGAAUUUAAUGUCCCAAAUGUACACAAGUCGUUGUUGUUUCUAGAGUUUGAAUUCACUCCUUCGAAAACAAUCGGACAGAAUUACC